UCGGACAUGGUGUAGGGUACACCGCCUCUCGCUUGUGGGAGAUUUUGCAUUCAUGUUGGAGGCAGACCGGGGUUCGACUCCCCGUGUCCGAA